GUGAUCUCUGACCCCACGCGGCCGACUGGCCCUAGUAACCCCCCGCUUUCCCUCAUCAUCCCCACGUGGGGCCAUGGACAGAGAGAAGGAACAAGCCAUAAAUCGAGCUGGUAUUGUUCAAGAAGACGUGCAGCCACCAGGGUUGAAAGUGUGGUCGGAUCCAUUUGGCCGGAAAUGAGACUAACACCACCUCUAAUUAUGAAAGUAGACAGAGACUUCAUGCUUUCAGUCCUGCAGCAAGUGCAAUAAGCCACCUGGCUAGAGAACACCGGCUGGAGCAGAAAACUCUAGCAGGCCAUAAAGAGUCCUGUGCCUGAGGAUCACGUCCCUUCUUAAAAGAGCCCUGGAACAAAUCAUACUAUUAGGAGGGUUUUCAUGACUUGGUUUCCUUUCUAAAAAUGAAGCUGUCUCACUCAGCUGGGCUUGAAGGCUAUCUACAUAUUAUUCAGUCUCUACCUCUUAGCCAGCCAAGCUGUGAUAUGAAUACAGGCAACCAGUAGACUGGGGAAGAUUCUAGACUGUUUUGCCAUCCUCCAAAUAGGAAAUUUCAGGGGAAAACUACCAUACUGAGCAGCCUCAUAGGGCUCUUUGAAAAUGUUAAAGUUGAUAAAACUCUUUGAGGACAAGGUACAUUGUACUCUUUAAGAAUAAAUAGUUCAGCUCAACUAUCUCAUUAGCAAGGUUGCUGCAUGUUGAGAAAUAAAUUUGAAGCAAACUAAAUGGGUCUGCAUGCCUAUUAAAAAUCAUUGUUGAAUUGACUGAAGUGAAAAUGUGUAUAUUAAAAUGAUUUCUCUUACUUCAUAA